ACUCUGGUCUCAGGCCCCGCUGCAGCUGCGGACUCGGGGCUCCCCGGACCGUGCCGUUUGCCGCUCAGCUGAUCCCUCCGCGAAGGGGCUGCGGCUAGGGGUGGAAGGAGGACGCGGCAGCCGCGGUGACGGCGGGUCACAGACAAGGCAGGGUGAUCGCGGCAAGACCCUGAGUGAGACUAGAGGCGUUACCCAGAGGGUGCGAGGUCGAGCACCCUCACUGUCCUAUCGCAAACCCAAAGAUCCCCGUUCCUGGAGAUUCUGAUUGAGGUAAACUAACAAAACAUGUAUUGUGCCAGAGAGUGGUAAGCACUAUGGAGGGUUACAGUGGUGUAGGGGAAGACCUGUCGGGGUGGACACUUGGGGAACGUGACGUGCGGGCGGAGCGUGGGCGCUAUUGGCAUGGGCCCCGAGUGCCAGCGGAGACGCACUGGAGUCUCUGCGCUUCCCCUGCUAGCUGGAAAAGGGGAUGGAGGCGGGGUCAACUUCCCAUCCAAUCACAGCUCAGCGUGCCUCGGAGGGCGGGAGGAAACAGAACUCUGCGGGUCUGCGACUUCCGGCCGUCACCACGGAAACUACCGGCCCCGUGAGCGCGUGGUGUGGUGGCCUUUCCCUGCGGAGGGCCCCAGGCGCCACUCCUCUGAUUCUGCAGAUCCUCCCCCAGGAGUGGCCUCUGGCCAAGGCUGGCUUGUCUGCUUCCCCCGAGGCCAGGCCCCUAGUCUUGGGGGUUAGGGUGACUUGAAGCAGCAGGGGGAAGUCCGGCUGCACCCCGAAAGAAGCUUGGACACACAAACUUCAAGUCUCUGUUACUGGAAAUGCCCAGGCCAAGACUAGCCUGACACGUGCCCAGAGCGAGACCUUCAGUGGGGUUUAAGGCUCAAGCUGUACCCUGCUGCACACAGACCACUUCUUUGAAACUGCCUUUCACCCUGUGUUACCUGCACCCAAGUCAUCCAUUGGAGGGGUGGGGGAGAGGGGCUGUGUGAAGGACCUGGACAAUGCGAUGGAAGGGGAAGAUGGCUAGGGCAAAAUAGUCAAUGGCACUGGGUCCUGGAGAUGCUGCCCUGAAGCCUGCUGUAUGCUGAACUUGCGCUCUCAGCGUCUGUCCACUUUCACCUAAGCUGCGUUUCCACUGGUUUGCUGCUGGAUCUACUCCUGACUGAAUCCUUCCAAUGUGCCCGGGGCCAGGGUGGGAGAAGUCUUCAGCUCUAGUGAUGGGAAUGAUCAGCACAGGGCAGGGAAACUGGCCCAGGGCCUGCAGUCUUUGCUUCUCAGACUGGUUGGGGAUCCAUCUGCAGGGUCCUACACCCUCAUCACCUGCUGCUUGUAAACAUGAGAACAGGAAAGUCCCGAAAAAUCUGAAUUUCCAGGUAAAAUCCUCCAGUUUUAAAACCAGGAAAUGGUUUCCUAGGUGUAAAGGAGUUUUACAAAGACAUCCUGAGGCAGAAUCUGGA